rnacentral:rRNA from 1 species
UACGUAGGGUGCGAGCGUUGUCCGGAAUUACUGGGCGUAAAGAGCUCGUAGGUGGUUUGUCGCGUUGUCCGUGAAAACUCACAACUCAAUUGUGGGCGUGCGGGCGAUACGGGCAGACUGGAGUACUGCAGGGGAGACUGGAAUUCCUGGUGUAGCGGUGAAAUGCGCAGAUAUCUGGAGGAACACCGGUGGCGAAGGCGACGUCCUGGACCGGCAUUGACGCUGAGGCGCGAAAGCCAGGGGAGCAAACGGG